GGGGGUGAAUAGGGUUCGACGGAAUUGUUGAAGCUCUUGUUUGCACGUCGAGGGUUCGGUUGGCCUCGUUAAAAAGCCGAAAAACUAUAAAUGCAAACCAAGACGUAACAGACAGCAAUGCUUAUGCACUUGCUGCCUAAUACCUUGUAGACCUGCUGCCUAGUGCACCGGGUCGGUUGCUAAAGAGAGUGCUUGCGGCUCUUUGGUAACUUAAACUUAGUGAGCUAGUGUGGAGUUGUUGCCUUACAGCGCCAUGCGAAACUUAAAGGCUAGCUAAGAGAUAUCUCGUGACUUAGAGCUCUUUUAGUAAAACUAAAGAUGUCACUAAACGUGUAGAUUGCAAGAAGAGAUCUUUUUCGGACGGGGGUUCGAUUCCCCCCACCUCCAUUC
rnacentral:tmRNA from 1 species